rnacentral:rRNA from 1 species
CGCGAAUGGCUCAUUAAAUCAGUUAUGGUUCAUUAGAUGAGUCCAAUCCUACUUGGAUAACUGUGGCAAUUCUAGAGCUAAUACACGCCUCCAAGCUCUGACCUAUCGGGACGAGCGCUUUUAUUAGACCAAGACCAAUCGGGCUUCGGUCCGUUUCCUUUGGUGACUCUGAAUAACCUUUUGAAGAUCGCACGGUCUCGAACCGGCGAUGCAUCUUUCAAAUGUCUGCCUUAUCAACUGUCGAUGGUAAGUUAUGCGCUUACCAUGGUUGUAACGGGUAACGGAGAAUCAGGGUUCGACUCCGGAGAGGGAGCCUGAGAAACGGCUGCCACAUCCAAGGAAGGCAGCAGGCACGCAAAUUACCCACUCCCGGCACGGGGAGGUAGUGACGAAAAAUAACGAUGCGGGACUCUUCCGAGGCCCCGUAAUCGGAAUGAGUACACUUUAAAUCCUUUAACGAGGAUCAAUUGGAGGGCAAGUCUGGUGCCAGCAGCCGCGGUAAUUCCAGCUCCAAUAGCGUAUACUAAAGUUGUUGCGGCUAAAAAGCUCGUAGUUGGAUUUCAGUCGUAGGCCGGUGGUCCACCGCCCGGUGGCUACUGCCUGGUCUGGACACCUUGCCAGCUCUCCGGCGAUGCUCUUGACCGGGUGUCGUUGGUGGCUGGAACGUUUACUUUGAAAAAAUUAGAGUGCUCUAAGCAGGUGCUAUCGGCUUGAAUAACACAGCAUGGAAUAAUGGAACACGACCUUGGUUCUGUUCUGUUGGUCUUUGGAAGCCAAGGUAAUGAUUAAUAGGGACGGACGGGGGCAUUCGUAUUGCGACGCUAGAGGUGAAAUUCUUGGACCGUCGCAAGACGAACUACUGCGAACGCAUUUGCCAAGAACGUUUUCAUUAAUCAAGAACGAAAGUCAGAGGUUCGAAGGCGAUCAGAUACCGCCCUAGUUCUGACCAUAAACAAUGCCAACCAGCGAUCCGCCGGAGUUACUCCCAUGACUCGGCGGGCAGCUUCCGGGAAACCAAAGUGUUUGGGUUCCGGGGGAAGUAUGGUUGCAAAGCUGAAACUUAAAGGAAUUGACGGAAGGGCACCACCAGGAGUGGAGCCUGCGGCUUAAUUUGACUCAACACGGGACACCUCACCCGGCCCGGACACCGGAAGGAUUGACAGACUGAGAGCUCUUUCUUGAU